rnacentral:rRNA from 1 species
GACGUAGGGCGCGAGCGUUGUCCGGAUUUAUUGGGCGUAAAGAGCUCGUAGGCGGCUUGUCGCGUCGUCCGUGAAAACCUGCGGCUCAACUGCAGGCUGGCGGUCGAUACGGGCAGGCUGGAGUUCGGUAGGGGAGACUGGAAUUCCUGGUGUAGCGGUGAAAUGCGCAGAUAUCAGGAGGAACACCGGUGGCGAAGGCGGGUCUCUGGGCCGAUACUGACGCUGAGGCGCGAAAGCUAGGGUAGCAAACGGG